UCCUAAUACAGGUUGAGAAUAAUUCUCAUCUCCUCCACUGCAGCCUGGGCCUCCCUGCACCAGCCUCGGUCUCCCUGCACCAGCCUUUCUCAGGAGGUCUCUCUGUCCUGGUCCGCACCUCCUCUGCUUCUCUCCCGCCUCUCUGUAUUUCUGCUUUUCACCCUUUCUCUCUCCCGCCGCACCGACCGAAGCCGAGUUGAGCUAGGGGAGCCCAAGCGGCGUAGAAAGUCGGGUGAAGGCGGAGCCAAGAACGGAAAGAGCCAUCACUAGAGUCCACGGGGCGUUCUGCUUCCUUUGGGAAGUCGCGGACCCGGGCGUUUCCCGGGACGCUGGCUCUGACGCCUGCGAAGGGCAGGACGGGGCUAAGGCCAUUCCGCUGCCCUUCCAGCUUUGGAAUCACCCAAUGCACGGGUUUCAACCGUAGCCAGCAAGAUGCGCCUCUCCGGUUUUCUGAGGCUUUGGAGCCUGCACAAUUGUUCUACAAAAGGCGGUGGCUCUGCCUAGUGUUGGAUGGGCGCGUGCUCUGCAUGGUGAGGCGGGAGCGACAGUUGACUGUCCAUUCGUGUGUCGCAGUCGGGUGGUGUGCUUGCUUCCAAGUUUGGAGAUGAAGAGUUCCAUACAAAAGACCUACUCCCCUGAGAAGUAGUGAAGUGCUCCUGGGGCCCACCAAGGCCACACAAAUCAAGGAGUGGGUGACCUCACCCUGGCUUCAGCUCAGAGCUGAUUUUGAGAUCACCUUUGCAAAACGACAUCGUGCUGGGAGAUGUCAUCAGGACAAGACCAUAGAUGUGGCUGUCAAAGGAGGCACAGAGGAAAGACUAUGGGAGGACACAGCAAGAAAGUGGCUUUCUGCAAGCCAGGAAGAGAGGCCUCCCCAGAAACCAACCCUGCUAGCACAUCCAACCUCACAAAAGACUCAAGAAGAACUUCUGGCCUCCAGAACUUUGAGAAAAUGUCUAUUGUUAAGCCACGAAAACUUUGUUAUCUUUCUGUGGCAGCCUGAGCUGACUAAUACCUUUGAGAGGUGAAGUUUGAAGGCCACUAGAUCAACUGAAGUCCAAAGCAUGAGAACCCCCACCAAAGAAGGACAAACAAAUGAAGCAGUUUCCUUCCAGAUAAUGGAAGAAAAAUAUGGCAGCCAUAAAUGUUGAUUGGAGAAAAUCACUGAAGUUUUCAUCAUUUCUUAAAGGUCAAGUGUGAACUAUUGUGACAGAAUCUAUGAUCUUAGUGCAACAUUGCUCUGCAAACUUGGACCAGGGCAGAGUGAGAUAGCAGAGGAGCUGUGCCAGCGUCUACAGCGAAAGGAAAGGAUGCUGCAGGACCUUCUAAGUGAUCAAAACAAAGAAGUGGUAGAAGAUGAAAUGGAGAUUCAAGGCCUGCUUUGGUCUAUGCGCACCGGGGAGCAGGAAAGCCAAAGAGAAUAUGGUGCAAGCCUUAAUGGAAAGAAAUUCAGAAUUACAGGCCCUGCACCAAUAUUUAGGAGGGAGAGACUCCCUAAUGUCCCAAGCACCCAUCUCUAACCAGCAAGCUGAAGUUACCUCCAUUGGCCCCCACUCUUGGAGAACAGACUGAUCAAGGUUCAAUGCAGAUACCUUCCAGAGAUGAUAGCACUUCAUCGACUGCCAAAGAGGAUGCCAGCAUACCCAGAUGCACAUUAGAUAAGUAUCAAAUUUCAUUUCAUUAAGGGACUUUGUUUUUCUCUUGUUUUUCCUUCUAGUAAUCUCCGUAUUAAUAGGUUUGGCCAAGACUCUUUUCUCUUCCUACCUUAAUGGAACAAACAAGUUUGGAAUUCCUCUGAAAGGCUGAAGAACUGUACUUACCUUAUGUUGAGUUGAGGUUAUUGCUCUGGGUUCACAAUUUGGCCAGAGAAACUCUAUCAUUAUUCUCCUUUUCAGAUAGCUUUGCAGGGAUUCAGAAAUGCAGGAGGUUCCAAUCCUGCACAGCAGAGCCAUGAGCUGACUUUUUUCCGGGUAUCUUUCAAGUCUGGGGCCACUCACUGUAACUUGACGUCACCUACAUGAAACUGUUAGGAAGGGUAGGUGGUGUACAUUGAGUUAUUUGCCAAGCCUAGCCCCAUUCAGGGGAUGGUUUAGAAAAGCCUUACAAGUAGUCAUUCUCUAGCAAGAAAGCUUUACACUAAUCAAAGAGUAAAAGAAUGUUGGAUUUGUUUUAUUUAUUCUUUAUUUGCCUUUUUAAAAAAGUGUACUUUUCCCUAAAGUUUUUGAUUUUGGAAAUUUCAAACCUACAGGAAAGUGGCAAAAAUAGUAUAGUGAAUACUCAUAUACAUUUUUAUUCAGACUUACCAGUUAUUAACAUUCUGCCACAUUUGCCUUUUUUCUUUCUAUUACACACACAUAUGUAGUUGUAAUGUAUUUUCUGAACCACUGGGGAAUUUCUUACAGAAAUCAUGACAUUUUAUUCCUAAAUACUUCAGUAAGUAUUGCCUAAGAACAAGGGCAUUCUCCUACAUAGCUACAAUAUAAUUAUCACACUCAGAAAAUUUAACCUUGAUAUAGGCUUCGUAUCUAAUAUACAGUCCACAUUCAGAGUUCCUGUUGUCCCCAUAAUGUUCUGUAUAGCUACUUUGGUUUCCCCCAACCCAGGGGUUAUGCAUUGUGCUUAGUUGUCAUGUCUCUUAGUCUCUAAUCUAGAACAAUUGUCUAGCUUUUUUUUUUCUUUAGUGAGAUUUGCAUUUUUUUUCUUGUUAGCUGGAUAUAUUUCUUUUCUUUCUUUUUUUUUUUGUCACAGAACACUGUUUGCAAUAGAGGAAACUGGCAUUGCAGUCUGGUGGUAUAAUGGCUUAUUCACAUAAAACAGUACAUGUUCAUCCUUUAGCACAAAAAGUCCUAAUGGCGCAUACCCUAUUAAAAUUCAGGACAUCUCCAAUAUUAUCUCUGUCUGUUUUUCUUUGUCAUCUUUUUUUUUUUAAAUAAACAUUUUCAAGGUUUGUCCAAAAGAAGGCCAUAUAGGUUCUUGGCUAGCAGAAGACAAUUCAGAACAGCUGUUGCACACUUGGACUGUCACCUUCUCCAGGCUGGCAGUUGAUAUCUUAUUUUUUUUCCAACUAAUUUUUAUUAAAAAAA
rnacentral:lncRNA from 1 species